rnacentral:tRNA from 1 species
GCCCGCCUAGCUCAAUCGGAUAGAGCGUCAGACUCUUACUAGCGGGUUAUCUGAAGGCUGCGAGUUCGACCCUCGCGGUGGGCU